GAUAUGGUAGUUCAGUGGUUACGAUGUUGGACGUCUGCUCAGAAGGUCGUGAGUUCAAAACCCAGCAGCUGUCG